rnacentral:tRNA from 1 species
CUAAAGCCUCUCGCUUACACCGAACCAAUAUCUGUUUAACCCAGAUCAUUUUG